UCGUAACAAGGUUUCCGUAGGUGAACCUGCGGAAGGAUCAUUAGUGAUUGCCUUUAUAGGCUUAUAACUAUAUCCACUUACACCUGUGAACUGUUCUACUACUUGACGCAAGUCGAGUAUUUUUACAAACAAUGUGUAAUGAACGUCGUUUUAUUAUAACAAAAUAAAACUUUCAACAACGGAUCUCUUGGCUCUCGCAUCGAUGAAGAACGCAGCGAAUUGCGAUAAGUAAUGUGAAUUGCAGAAUUCAGUGAAUCAUCGAAUCUUUGAACGCAGCUUGCGCUCUCUGGUAUUCCGGAGAGCAUGCCUGUUUCAGUGUCAUGAAAUCUCAACCACUAGGGUUUCCUAAUGGAUUGGAUUUGGGCGUCUGCGAUUUCUGAUCGCUCGCCUUAAAAGAGUUAGCAAGUUUGACAUUAAUGUCUGGUGUAAUAAGUUUCACUGGGUCCAUUGUGUUGAAGCGUGCUUCUAAUCGUCCGCAAGGACAAUUACUUUGACUCUGGCCUGAAAUCAGGUAGGACUACCCGCUGAACUUAAGCAUAUCAAUAAGCGGAGGAAAAGAAACUAACAAGGAUUCCCCUAGUAACGGCGAGUGAAGCGGGAAGAGCUCAAAUUUGAAAUCUGGCAGUCUUCGAUUGUCCGAGUUGUAAUCUAUAGAGGCGUUUUCCGUGCCGGACCGUGUCCAAGUCUCCUGGA
rnacentral:misc_RNA from 1 species